UUGUUCAAAAUAUUUGAAGAAAUUAAACAAAAGCUCUGUUAUUAGACUUUUGACGAUGUGAAUUUAAGCAUGGAUGCAAUUUGGGUACUCCUCAUUACAGAAUCAUGAUUAGUUUGGAGGUUGAUUCAAACCCAUUUUUUUAUGACUCAAUAUGGAUUCAAAAUUAAAUUGGUGUACCUAUACAAUAAAGAAGGAUAGGGCUACAAAAUAAACACAGUAUGGACAUUUUUUUCUUGAUCAUAAAAAUACGUAGGUGAAAAAACUGUCAAAAUAGGUG
rnacentral:lncRNA from 1 species